rnacentral:rRNA from 1 species
CCCUUAGAUGUUCUGGGCCGCACGCGCGAUACACUGAUGCAUUCAACAAGCCUAGCCUUGACCGAGAGGUCCGGGUAAUCUUUGAAACUGCAUCGUGAUGGGGCUAGAUUAUUGCAAUUAUUAAUCUUCAACGAGGAAUGCCUAGUAAGCGUGAUUCAUCAAAUCGCGUUGAUUACGUCCCUGCCCUUUGUACACACCGCCCGUCGCUCCUACCGAUUGAAUGUGUUGGUGAGGAGCUCGGAUUGGCAGCAGUUGGUGGUUCGCCACCGGCUAUUGCUGAGAAGUCCUCCAAACCGCCCCAUUUAGAGGAAGGAGAAGUCGUAACA